UAAUACCCUGAAAGCAUGCAUUGUGGUGUCUUUUUGGCCAUUUGAUAGCCAAACACUGCUGUGUGUGUGUGUGUGUGUGGUGGAGUGGAGUGUGGGGGGGUCAGUGGAGUCCCUAUGGGGUUUGACGAAAAGAGAACAUGGAGUAAGUGGGCCUCUUUCAAAUCCAUCUUUGAAAAACCUGCUUAAGUUCUUGUGG